UUGUAUUUUUAGUAGAGAUGAGGUUUCACCACGUUGGCCAGGCUGGUCUCAAACUGCUGACCUCAAGUGAUCCACCCGGCUCGGCCUCCCAAAGUGCUGGGAUUACAGGCAUGAGCCAAUUCGCCCGGUGAUAAAUGCUUGUUUUAAGCUUCUGGGUUUUGGGGUGGUGUGUUAGGCAGCCUCACUGGGGCAGUGGCUGACGAGUACAAUCAGAUGAACCCUGAGGCCCCUGGAAGCUUCGAGUGUCUACGAGGGACCUUUCCCGGCCUUUGGUCAGGCAAGUUGGAAGACCCACUUCUCUGGACUGGAUGCUGCAUUGAAUUGAGCAAAGGAACUGAGUGCCCGGGGAGUUCAAAGGGAAGCAGCCCAGCCUUCCUUCUGGGGCAGAGCAGUGGUGGGGACCUGUUUCCAGCUGCUUGUGCCCCCACUUCACGGAGGAGGGACCAGGGAUCCUCAGAGGAGAGGGUGAUGUCCGACAGUAGGGGCCUGCCCUGAAAAUCGCCCUUGUCUGUCCAGCCUGGGCUGAAUUUCACCCACAUCAACCCACAUGGGAUGCUUUAUUUAUUUAUUUAUUUAUUUAUUUAUUUAUUUUAGAGCCAGGGUCCCACCCUGUGGCCCAGGCUGGCGUGCCGUGGUGCUAUCAUAGCUCACUGCAGCCUCAAACUCCUGGGCUCAAGUGAUCCUCCCACCUCAGCCUCCAGAGUAGCUGGGACUACAGGAACACACCACUGUGCCUGGCUUAUUUUUCUUUUUUUUUUUUGGUAGAGAUGGGGGUCUCGCUAUGUUGCCCAGGCUGGUCUCAAACUCCUGGCCUCAAGUGAUCCUCCUGCCUUGGCCUCCCAAAGUACUGGGAUUACAGGUAUACCAUUAUGCCCAGCUAACCCUGUUCCUUGAAGAAAGUGUGAACCUCAAAUUCAAAGCCCCUCUCUUUCUCUUCCCUCAUCAGAAUCGGCUCCCAGACACCUGCCACUGGUGAAUGCAUCUGAUAUACUCACUCACACUGAGGCCUUGGGGACUGAGAAUCCCCAGGACUCCCUAGGGGAGGAGGUCCCAGCCUGGCCUCCCAAGACCGUGCCUGCCCAAUUCCAGGACUUCCUCACAUGGCUCCUACCUCCAGCGCAGAAGCGGCACUAAACCAGGUGGUCUAAUCAGGGAGCACCACCGAGGUUCUGAAUGGUCCAGGGAUGAGCAGUGAUGCCUCAAGCUAAGCCAAUCAAAGCCUUCCCUGGGAUUGUCUCAAGGAGUCCGCAGUGAGAUUCUGGGUCUCAGUACUGGGAAAGGGUGAGGCUGAGGCUGCCUGCUGUCCUGGGGGCCUCACCCUGCCACCAACAGGAAGCCACACAGAGGGAAGCAGAAAUGAGAGGCAGCCAGUGAGAGCAGGGUACAAAGGCGAGAUCCCGGAGAGACAGAUGCUGGGACAUCAUCCUUGGGUACUGGUUCCAACAGUGCCUGCAGAUGGAGCCACCCUCGGAGAGUCCACAACAGCAGCCAAUCCAUUCUAUGCGUGUCUGAGCUACUUUAAGUCGGGUUUUUGACUGUUUGAAUGAGAGCCCCAUCUUGGCUAGGCACCAUGGCGCAACAACUGGGGAGGUGGAGGUAGGAAGAUUGCUUGAGGCCAAGAGUCCCAGAGCAGCCUGGGCAACCUAUCAAGACGCUGUCUUUACGAAAAGAAAAAAAACUAGCUAGGUGUGGUGGUGCGUGCCUGUGGUCCCAGCUACUGGGGAGGCUGAGGUGGGAGGAUCGCUUCAGCCCAGGAAGUGGAGGCUGCAGUGAGCUAUGAUGGCACCACUGUACUCCAGCCUGGGUGACAGAGCAAGACCCUGUCUAAAAAAAAAAAAAAAAAAAAAAAAAAGAAGUCCCACCGAAUACCUUCAUGCAGUGAAGGUCACCCCAUCUGAAAAAUAAAGCCUGGGCACUUGGGCUUGGUAUUGGUGGCCUUUGCAAGGUGUAAGAUGCGUUCCCCUCCUUGGGUCCCCCUUAAGCUUGUCCUGUACAUUUCAUUUACAAAGGACUUUCACAAGCAUGAAUGGAGGUGACCCCACCACACCCCAGGUUUCGGAUAAGGAAACCGAGGCUUCAGUAGGAAGUACUGUACCCCACGUCACGCAGGCAGUGGGGGAUGAGAAUGAACUUGAGCCCCUCAUCUGACUCCACCCCCUACUCUCACCUUCACUCCCCUGCUCUCCCUCUUCCCCUGAGGACUGACUGUUCCUGACCUCUGCACUUGGGCAUCUUCACCGUGCAGUGUGACUCAAAUGCUUCCUUCUCCCCUCUGCUGAUUCAGACCAGCUCAGUGUGUGCCACCUCCCCUAGGCGCUUUCUGUAGAAGCCCCUUCUCCUGCCCUGGUCCUGCACCUGCCUCAGGUGUUGACACCUGAGCUCCCGAUGCUUAGGGCUGGGUGGCUGCCACCCAUCUUGUUACCCAGUGUGCAGAAUUGGGUGCUGGAGGCACGAGCCUGCUCUAUACCUCUUUUUAAAAUUUUUAAAUUAUUGUUAUUAUUAUUUGAGACGGAGUUUUAUUCUUGUUGCUCAGGCUGGAGUGCAAUGGCACGAUCUCGGCUCACCGCAACCUCCGCCUCCCAGGUUCAAGCGUUUGUCCUGCCUCAGCCUCCCGAGUAACUCGGAUUACAGGCAUGCGCCACCACGCCUGGCUAAUUUUGUAUUUUUAAUAGAGACGGGGUUUCUCCAUGUUGGUCAGGCUGCUCUCCAACUCCUGACCUCAGGUGAUCUGCCCGCCUUGGCCUCCCAAAGUGCUGGGAUUACAGGCAUGAGCCACUGCGCCUGGCCAAUUAUUAUUAUUUUUUGAGACGGAGUCUCAAAUCUGUUGCCCAGGCUGGAAUGCAGUGGCACGAUCUCGGCUCACUGCAACCUCUGCCUCCUGGGUUCAAGCGAUUCUCCCUGCCUCAGCCUCCCGAGUAGCUGGGGUUACAGGAAUCCACCACCACGCCUGGCUAAUUUUUGUAUUUUUUAGUAGAGAUGGGGUUUCACCAUGUUGGCCAGGUUGGUCUUGAACUCCUGACCUCAGGUGAUUCACCCGCCUUGUCCUCCCAAAGUGCUGGAAUUACAGGCGUGAGCCACCACGCCAGGCCCCUCUUUAGAUCUGCUUUUUUUUUUUUUUUUAAACAGGAUCUUGCUCUGUUGCCCAGACUGGAGUGAAGUGGCACGACUAUAGCCCACUGCAGCCUUGAACUCCGGGCUCAAGUGAUCCUCCCGCUUCAGCCUCUCCAGUAGCUGAAACUACAGGCACACACCACCACGCCCAGCUAAUUUUUAUUUUUAUUUUGUAGAGAUGGGGUUUCACUAUGUUGCCCCGGCUGGUCUAAAAUUCCUGGCCUCAAGCGAUCCUCCUGCCUCCGCCUUCCGAAGUGCUGGGAUUAUAGGCUUGAGUCACCACCGUGCCCAGCAUACAUCUGCUUUCUGAAUAUUUGAGAGGCGGAAGGCACAAGGCGUGACAAUUGAUGGGAUUUGGGAUGUAAAGAGCAAGAGAGGACUCAAGCACAGUCGUCUCGAGGUUUCUAGCCCCGGCUGCUGUCACCAACCACUCUCAGGAAGAGAGUGCGAUGACAUGGAUCCUGCGGACAAACCGCCCCAGGGCGUACCUAGCACCGAAGCAUCAGGCGCCACUAGGUCUCCAGCUCCUUCUCGGAUGACGUCCUUCAGCACGCCCCGGUCCCCCGAGAUGUCCAGCAUCCUCUGACUUAACCGCUCGUACAGGGACUGAUGGAGAAUGAAAGCCAGGCCUCAGAGCCGCAGACCCGCCCGGCCACCCCUCAGCGUCGACGCCCCGAAGCGUCCGGGCCCUCGCCUGGCCGGGGGCGUCGUCCCCUUCCAGGACUCCCUGGUUUAAGGCGCUUCCCCCCAUGUCCUUGCUGCCCUCCCUGUGGCGUGAGCCUUCGGCCUGGUGCGCCCCGCUGCCCUCCCUGGCUGUGACUCUGGUGGGGUUCCGAAGGCCCCUUUAUGCCCGGCAGACCCCUACCGACGGCGGCAUUCCAUUCUGGGGCCACGAGGAGGCACUCAUCGUUUCGUUCCAACCGCCGCCAACGGCCCUGGCCCUCGCGAGCUCUGGAACUACAGAGGUCGCACGGUGGGGUGCCAGGUGUGGCCCGUAAUCGGAGCGCACAAAACAUGAUGGGACACGUAACGGGACCACACAGGGCACAUUGGGCACUUGCAGGGGCGUGAGGUGGCGGCACGUAAUGGGAGCGCGCUGAGCAUGAUGGGGCAUGUGCGGGAGCGCCAGGCGGGGCAUGUAACCAGAGCGUGCGGGGCAUGAUGGGGCACGGACAUGGGGGGUUAGGUGGGGCACGUAAUUGGAGCGCGCGGGGCAUGAUGGGGCAGUUGCAGGGGCGCGAGGCUGGGUACGUAACGGGAGCGCGCGGGAAAUGAUGGGGUACUUAACGAGCACGCAGAGCAUGAUGGGGCACGGGUGCGAGGUGGGGCGCACAGUGGGAGCGCGUGGGGCAUGAUGGGACACAUGGCGAGGCCGUCAGGGCACAGGGGAAGCACUUUUGGAACACGUGAGUGACAGGGCUGCCGCCCUUGAAGGAGCCGUCGGAGUGGCUGCGUGGUGGGGCACGUGGGGCAGGUUCAGGAAAAAGGAUGCAGCAUGUGAUUGCAGGGCAACCUGGUGAGGACACAAGAGCCACCUGCCACCAGCAGGGUUCAGGGCUCCCAGCUGUGGGUUACUUCCACCUUCUUUCACUUUCCCUCUUCCAUUGUGUUCUAGAGAAUUUAGGCCCAGACAAGACACUGAUUGAUUGAUUGAUUGAUUGAUUGACAGAGGCUCGCUCUGAGCCCAGGCUGGAGUUCAGUGAUGGAUCUCAGCUCACCGCAGCCGCCACCUCCUGGGCUCAAGAGAUCCUCCUGCCUCGGCCUCCCAAGUAGCUGGGAUUACAGACGUGCACCACCAGGCCCAGCUAAUUUAUUUUUUAGUUUUUAAUUUGCUGGUAAGAUGGUUUGUAGCUUUGUUGCCUAGGCUGGUCUUGAACUCCUGGCUUCAAGCGAUCCUCCAGUCUUGACCUCCCAAAGUGCUGGGAUUAUAGGCGUAGGCUACAGCCAACUUUCAAUACUGCCCCAUUGGGGGUUAAGUUUCCAACACAUGAAAUUAGGAGGAUACAUUCAAACCACAGCAGUAUAUUAUGACCAUAAUAUUCAUUAACUGUAUAACAGGCCAGGCGCGGUGGUUCACACCUGUAAUCCCAGCACUUUGGGAGGCCAAAGCCGGUGGAUCGCUCCAGGUCAGGAGUUUGAGACCAGCCUGGCCCACAUGAUGAAACCGCAUCUCUACUAAAAAUACAAAAAAUUAGCCGGUGUGGUGGCAGGCGCCUGUAACCUCAGCUACUUGGGAGGCUGAGGUAGGAGAAUCACUUGAAUCCGGGAGGUGGAGGUUGCAGUGAGCCUGAUUGCACCACUGCACUCCAGCCUGGGCAACAAGAGCAAAACUCUGUCUCAAUAAACAAACAAACAAAACCUGUAUAA